rnacentral:tRNA from 1 species
GCGUUCGUCGCUCAACUGGACAGAGCACUAGACUACGGAUCUGGGGGUUAGGGGUUCGAAUCCUCUCGAGCGCU